rnacentral:rRNA from 1 species
UACGGAGGGUGCAAGCGUUAUCCGGAUUUACUGGGUUUAAAGGGAGCGUAGGUGGGUCGGUAAGUCAGUGGUGAAAUCUUCGAGCUUAACUCGGAAACUGCCAUUGAUACUAUCGAUCUUGAAUUAUCUGGAGGUAAGCGGAAUAUGUCAUGUAGCGGUGAAAUGCUUAGAUAUGACAUAGAACACCCAUUGCGAAGGCAGCUUACUACGGAUACAUUGACACUGAGGCUCGAAAGCGUGGGGAUCAAACAGG